UAGGGAAUCUUCCGCAAUGGGCGAAAGCUUGCCGGAGCAACGCCGCGUGAGUGAUGAAGGUCUUCGGAUCGUAAAACUCUGUUAUUAGGGAAGAACAAAUGUGUAAGUAACUAUGCACGUCUUGACGGUACCUAAUCAGAAAGCCACGGCUAACUACGUGCCAGCAGCCGCGGUAAUACGUAGGUGGCAAGCGUUAUCCGGAAUUAUUGGUCGUAAAGCGCGCGUAGGCGGUUUUUUAAGUCUGAUGUGAAAGCCCACGGCUCAACCGUGGAGGGUCAUUGGAAACUGGAGAACUUGAGUGCGGAAGAGGAAAGUGGAAUUCCAUGUGUAGCGGUGAAAUGAGCAGAGAUAUGGAGGAACACCAGUGGCGAAGGCGACUUUCUGGUCUGUAAAUGACGAUGAUGUGCGAAAGCGUGGGGAUCAAACAGG
rnacentral:rRNA from 1 species